rnacentral:lncRNA from 1 species
UAAUGCAGUCAUUAAAUAAGACAUAUCAGGUGUGAGUUAUGUAUACUGGAGAAGGAGACGUCAUGAGAUGUGACCUUUCCGCAUAACUCCCGAUAUACCUACCUAGUUUUACAGUGAACUGCUAAAAUACAAACUGACAAAGAAGAUCAAAGGUUGCUUUGGAAAGUUCAAUAUGCAAUUUGCAUAUGAGUAAAAUUUGCAUACGACUAAAUAAACGAUUAUUCGAAUAAUAAUCAUGAUUAUGAAAAUGGAAGUGAACAAAAUGAAAUGCUUAUGGAAAACCUUUCAACGUCUUUCAAUGAUGGCAGGUGAAGCCAUGGCACUGUGGACGAUAGAGUAUUGCAUGUUUGCCUACGACAGUUACAUGAAGAGUGACGAGUCUGUCAGCAGUUCAACAUGAGUUUCGGCACCACUUCAACAUUCACCAAAUUCAGGCUGUUUUCACCCAUAACACCUUCUUACGUUGGGUGAAUGCACUUCGUACAUGAGGUACAUUAAUGAAUAGGAGACUUGUUGGGGCACCACGAACAGUACAACCCCGGAAAAUGUGAAACACAUCAGACCAGCUUUGUUACGAAGUCCGAAUUGCUCUGCUUGGAGGUAUUCCACUGAGCUUGGUAUAGGUAAUUGAUCAGUGAGGCGUAUUUUGAAUGAAGACCUGCAUUUCCACCUGUACAAAUUGGUCAUUGGGCAACAGUUGAAACUAUGGGACUAUGCACAGCGGCUUAACUUUGGAUGUCAAAUGGAAGCAAUUUUUUAGGCAAAUGACAACCUCAUUUUUGUCAAUAAGUGAUGAAGCACAUUAUCAUCUCAACAUCAUGGUGAAUCAACAGAACUGUCAUUAUUAGGCUCUUGAAAAUCCAAGAGAACUGCACGAAAGACCACUGCACAGCCCAAAAGUGACAGUCUGGUGUGCUGUUGGAAAAGCUGCCGUCAUUGGUCCUUACUUUUUUUAAGGCAAUAAUGGAAAUGCCAUUACUGUGAACUCCAGGCAUUACAUUGAGAUGAUAAAAAACUUCUUUGUGCUUGAAUUACUAUGAAAAUGUAUGCCUAUUUGAAGUGUGUGGUUUCAGCAGGAUGGGGCAAUGGCCCACAAAGCCAGAGCAUCAAUGGACAUUCUUCUCCCUAUCUUCAGUGACUGCCUCAUUUUCAUGUUGGCUGACAUUCCUUGACCCCCCCCCCCCCUGGGUCCCUUGAUUUGUCCACGUGUGAUUAUUUCUUGUGGGGAAGCCUCAAGGCACAUGUGUAUGUACAUAAGCCCUGUACAUUGGGCGAUUUGAAGGAAGCUAUUCAUGUGGGAAUCACCCAAAUCAACAGAGCAAUGCUGUUGAGAGUGAAGACCAACUUCCAAGAACGCCAUCAGAAAUGCAUCAAUGAAAAGGGAUAUCACAUGAUGAAUGUUGUUUUUUGCACUUGAUUUUGACAAAUGCUAAUUCAAU